AGAAAACAAAAGACCCUCUUCAUCGCCAACCUAUGAAUCGGGUGAGGUAUCAUUAUGAAUUGAAAAGUCGGUUGAUCGCUACCUGGAUAUUUGGAUACGUUAAUAUGAUGGAUUAUAAUGCUCCUAUAAUCCGGCGAAAUUCACUUACAUCCUCAAUGAACGGUUCAUCAGAUGUUAUCAAUGUGAAGUAUACGUUCAAUGUGAUGUAUAUGUUCAUGUCUAUACCUAGUUGUGUGUUCAGUUAUAUAUCGAAUUGUAUAUACGUUCAUGUAUAUAUCUAGUUGCAUGUUCAGGUAUAUAAUUAAUUGCAGGUUCAAGUAUAUAACUAGUUGCAUGUUAAGGUAUAUAACUAGGUUCCGGUUCAAGUAUAUAACUAGUUUCCUUUUAAGGUAUAUAACUAGUUGCAUGUUCAGACGAGAGCGAUUUUCAGAUGAAAGUGAUUUUCUAGAGAGAUUUUCAAAUGAGAGCGAUUUAGAGAAUGAUAUCAUAUUGUUGAGAUGAGGUUAAUUGAUAAAUUUUCAGAUCAAGAUGAGGUUGUUGAAUUUUUGAAAGAUUGUCGAUUUGCUGGUAAGUUUGUCGAUUUUCAAAGAAAGAGAUUAUAUGAGAUAUAAAUCUGAUUUUUUUUUGUGUUUUGUCGUAUUCAAUUUUUCACUCGAAAUACAGUUGUUUUCAAAAGGCCGACAUGGUUCAAGGUUUUCCUCUCAAAUCUCCAGACAUGUGACAUGAAUCUAGGGCGUCCGACAAUGAAGUUCAACGUUCUCAAUCUCUCCUGGUUCAUUAGUAUUCGCACAUCUAUCUUCAUGAUCUUUUUAUCCAUCUAUGUUACGAUGUUUUCUUUUACUAUUUUUCACCCAUUUAGACCUAGGAUUCUAUCGUUC
rnacentral:lncRNA from 1 species